rnacentral:rRNA from 1 species
AGGGUUCGAUUCUGGCUCAGAACGAACGCUGGCGGCAUGGAUUAGGCAUGCAAGUCGAACGAAGCAGCAAUGCUUAGUGGCGCAAGGGUGAGGAACACGUGAGUGACCUGCCCGCAAGUUUGGAACAGCUCCUGGAAACGGGAAUUAAUACCGGAUGUGAUCAUAUUGCUGCAUGGUGAUAUGAUUAAAGCAGUAAUGCGCUUGCGGAUGGGCUCGCGUCCCAUUAGCUAGUUGGUGAGGUAACGGCCCACCAAGGCCAUGAUGGGUAGCUGGUCUGAGAGGACGACCAGCCACACUGGGACUGAGAACUGCCCAGACUCCUACGGGAGGCUGCAGUCGAGAAUUUUGGGCAAUGGACGAAAGUCUGAACCCCAGCAAUGCCGCGUGCGGGAUGAAGGUCUUCGGAUUGUAAACCGCUGUUUGGAGGGACGAAAUUUGACGGUACUUCCAGAGAAAGCCACGGCUAACUACGUGCCAGCCGCUGC